CAUGCUUUGUGGGGUAGCUAUGGCGCCACAAGCCAUUUCACAUUAUUCGAGAUUCCCUAAUUGGGUCCUUCACAGUUUUUCAACAAACAUAUACCAUUCAUACUUUUUGGAAAUUCUAGGAAAAGUUUUCCCUAACGUUGUUUUACUCUUCACUUUUUACUUCCAUAUUAAAUAGCUUCAUACCUAAACCAAGCACACACCUUUUUAAUUUGUAUUUUUUUUUCUAAUUAAUAUCUUUUUCUUUGAUGGAUAACUCCUAUUUUUUGUAAUAAAUAUAUUGGCGUCCCAAAAAUGGAGAGAGCUUAGAUUUUUCAUCUUCUUACAGGCCAAUCAAUG
rnacentral:misc_RNA from 1 species